GAGUGUUGCACAUUGGCAGAGACGGGGAGUGGAGCUUGGAAGAAGUACUGGCCAUUCUGCCUUUUGAAACCUGAGGCUGACAAGUGGUCUGAGGACUGACCUUCUUCAAGCUCCUGGAAGGAUGCUGGGACUCAUGUGGACCACACUUUUCUUCAUACUCCAACCAUGCCCUUCUAAGUCUUCCUGUUCACAGACCUCUGCUGGUCCCUGGACACCCUUUUCUUUGCAACUAAGAUAGUGAUGCUCAAACCACCACCCAGGCUCUCUUCCUUACUUGUUCUGAUGAAGUCAGCUGCCAUGUUGUUUGCUGCCCUAUGGAGAGACUCACAUGACAAGGAACUAAGGGAAGCUACCAGCCUACAGGCAUUGAGAAACUAAAGUCUUCAGUCCUCAGUCCCAUAGCCCAUAAGGAACUGACUUCUGCAAGCAACCAUGUAAAUGAACUUGGAAGUAGAGCCCUCCCCAGUCACUUCUUCCAGUGAGACUGCAGCCCCAGAUGAUACCUUGAUUGCAACCAUGUGAGAGGAAAGCACACUAGAAGAUGGUUGGAUGAAUGUAUGAUGGGCAAACUCAUAGUGUCUACCACACCUUCCAUGCAGGUGGCUUGGAUGGAACUCCAUUGUCCCUCCCAGAAAUUCAAUGGACUCAACCCAGCUAGCCCAUACCUAUGAUCCCUUUUCAUCUUAGCCUCAGCCUAAUUAUCUCAGGGAAGAAGGACCCUCCC